UACGUAGGGUGCAAGCGUUGUCCGGAAUUAUUGGGCGUAAAGAGCGUGUAGGCGGCCCGAUUAGUCCGCUGUGAAAGUCCAGGGCUCAACCCUGGAAUGCCGGUGGAUACUGUCGGGCUAGAGUCCGGAAGAGGCGAGUGGAAUUCUCGGUGUAGCGGUGAAAUGCGCAGAUAUCGGGAGGAACACCUAUGGCGAAGGCAGCUCGCUGGGACGUUACUGACGCUGAGACGCGAAAGCGUGGGGAGCAAACAGG
rnacentral:rRNA from 1 species